rnacentral:lncRNA from 1 species
AUGUGGCAAAAUAAGAAACUGAGAAACCUUUUCUGUCAUUAUCGCAGGUCACUAAGGUCACAAAGAGAAAGAAAGACUCCUGCUCGUCCUCCCAUCCCCAUUCCUCUGAAAUUACAGCUCUCACAGCAUCACCACAGGAUCUGGACCAAACUGUGUUGCCUCCAAUAAACAGACGAAGAAGGCGGGGUCCGUUACCAUCGUGGCUGAAAAACAAAGAAGAGAGUGCCACCUACAUCACGGUGUUGACUGUGAGCACUGAGCAACUGUCACAACCCAGCUCCAGACAGGACAAAGAGGGGAGGACCACACACAUAAGCUAACUUAAAAAAGGUUUAUUUUGACCCGUAGAAAACAGAAAAGAAAACGACAAACCCAUGUGGGGAGGGAUUUGUGAAAUAUCAGCGGUGUCUGAGAAGCAUGGAUGAGUGGAAAAUGUGCUGUGGGGACUUUGUGUGGUGCAGAAAAUAAGCUAAAUAUAACUGAAUAAAAUGGAGACACACAUGCUUAUGAUCAUAAUGUUACAGUUUUGACAUUUGAGAUGUUACUCAUGUUACACAUGUUGUUUCUUCCAUCCUUCAUCAAUUUGUCCCAAUUUUAACCUCUCUGAUCUGACUGUUAUACAUUUUUAGCAAAAAUCUGCAGAAGCAGUCACCUGUUAUUAUCUGUUUUAUAUGUAAAUUUAAAGGUUUGGUAAAUAUAAUAAUUAUUUCUAACCUUAAUGGGCAUCUGUUCAUGCAGUUUGUUCUGUCAGACAUUUUGACACGUCAUCGCAAGGCAAACACAGAUAUGUUAUCAGCUACUUGUGCUAGUCCUGCGAUGACAAGUCAAAAUGUCUGUUAUGAAAAAGGUCUGUGGAGUUGAAUGGGAUUAGCAUUUGAUUUUAUUUUUAUUUCUCAGGCCAUAUCAGUUAUUGUAGGAAAGGAACGCUCCCAUGGUUCUUUCAGAGAAAAUGAGAAUCGGAUGUAGCCUUGUGAUUACAAGCUAAAAUAUGUUUGUCAGGAUAUUAAAUAGGAGCAGGAGAAGGGACUUUCUGGAGGCCAGGAUUAUAAAAAUAAAUUUAGACUGCAG